rnacentral:sRNA from 1 species
GGUGAUGGUGGUUUACGCAUGGUAAGCCUGAACAAGGCUGAUAGAGCUUACAGAAGAAUAGUGUACUAAAAUAGUUUUUCUUUAGAGCGAGAGGAGUGCACUAAUAUACAGUUUUCAGCUCAACACAGUUGGAAGUUUUGAAGCACUGGUUUUUCCCAUUUAUAAAUUCCUAUCAGUUCUGACUUCUUUGCCAAUGCAAUACUCGUCUUGUCCUUUUAGUUGCCACUGUAGUUUUGUCAAGACUCUAGCUUGGUCAGCUGUUUUGCACGCAUAUAUACUUUUGAUAUCGAACUAUCAAGCUGCCACCAUUUUCUUCCGUUGCGUGCCGUUUUUAUGUCAAAUUCUGCCUUGUUC